rnacentral:rRNA from 1 species
CGGGACACGUGGUAUCCUGUCUGAAUAUGGGGGGACCAUCCUCCAAGGCUAAAUACUCCUGACUGACCGAUAGUGAACCAGUACCGUGAGGGAAAGGCGAAAAGAACCCCGGCGAGGGGAGUGAAAAAGAACCUGAAACCGUGUACGUACAAGCAGUGGGAGCACGCUUAGGCGUGUGACUGCGUACCUUUUGUAUAAUGGGUCAGCGACUUAUAUUCUGUAGCAAGGUUAACCGAAUAGGGGAGCCGAAGGGAAACCGAGUCUUAACUGGGCGUUAAGUUGCAGGGUAUAGACCCGAAACCCGGUGAUCUAGCCAUGGGCAGGUUGAAGGUUGGGUAACACUAACUGGAGGACCGAACCGACUAAUGUUGAAAAAUUAGCGGAUGACUUGUGGCUGGGGGUGAAAGGCCAAUCAAACCGGGAGAUAGCUGGUUCUCCCCGAAAGCUAUUUAGGUAGCGCCUCGUGAAUUCAUCUCCGGGGGUAGAGCACUGUUUCGGCAAGGGGGUCAUCCCGACUUACCAACCCGAUGCAAACUGCGAAUACCGGAGAAUGUUAUCACGGGAGACACACGGCGGGUGCUAACGUCCGUCGUGAAGAGGGAAACAACCCAGACCGCCAGCUAAGGUCCCAAAGUCAUGGUUAAGUGGGAAACGAUGUGGGAAGGCCCAGACAGCCAGGAUGUUGGCUUAGAAGCAGCCAUCAUUUAAAGAAAGCGUAAUAGCUCACUGGUCGAGUCGGCCUGCGCGGAAGAUGUAACGGGGCUAAACCAUGCACCGAAGCUGCGGCAGCGACGCUGAUGCGUUGUUGGGUAGGGGAGCGUUCUGUAAGCCUGUGAAGGUGUGCUGUGAGGCAUGCUGGAGGUAUCAGAAGUGCGAAUGCUGACAUAAGUAACGAUAAAGCGGGUGAAAAGCCCGCUCGCCGGAAGACCAAGGGUUCCUGUCCAACGUUAAUCGGGGCAGGGUGAGUCGACCCCUAAGGCGAGGCCGAAAGGCGUAGUCGAUGGGAAACAGGUUAAUAUUCCUGUACUUGGUGUUACUGCGAAGGGGGGACGGAGAAGGCUAUGUUGGCCGGGCGACGGUUGUCCCGGUUUAAGCGUGUAGGCUGGUUUUCCAGGCAAAUCCGGAAAAUCAAGGCUGAGGCGUGAUGACGAGGCACUACGGUGCUGAAGCAACAAAUGCCCUGCUUCCAGGAAAAGCCUCUAAGCAUCAGGUAACAUCAAAUCGUACCCCAAACCGACACAGGUGGUCAGGUAGAGAAUACCAAGGCGCUUGAGAGAACUCGGGUGAAGGAACUAGGCAAAAUGGUGCCGUAACUUCGGGAGAAGGCACGCUGAUAUGUAGGUGAAGCGACUUGCUCGUGGAGCUGAAAUCAGUCGAAGAUACCAGCUGGCUGCAACUGUUUAUUAAAAACACAGCACUGUGCAAACACGAAAGUGGACGUAUACGGUGUGACGCCUGCCCGGUGCCGGAAGGUUAAUUGAUGGGGUCAGCGCAAGCGAAGCUCUUGAUCGAAGCCCCGGUAAACGGCGGCCGUAACUAUAACGGUCCUAAGGUAGCGAAAUUCCUUGUCGGGUAAGUUCCGACCUGCACGAAUGGCGUAAUGAUGGCCAGGCUGUCUCCACCCGAGACUCAGUGAAAUUGAACUCGCUGUGAAGAUGCAGUGUACCCGCGGCAAGACGGAAAGACCCCGUGAACCUUUACUAUAGCUUGACACUGAACAUUGAGCCUUGAUGUGUAGGAUAGGUGGGAGGCUUUGAAGUGUGGACGCCAGUCUGCAUGGAGCCGGCCUUGAAAUACCACCCUUUAAUGUUUGAUGUUCUAACGUUGACCCGUGAUCCGGGUUGCGGACAGUGUCUGGUGGGUAGUUUGACUGGGGCGGUCUCCUCCUAAAGAGUAACGGAGGAGCACGAAGGUUGGCUAAUCCUGGUCGGACAUCAGGAGGUUAGUGCAAUGGCAUAAGCCAGCUUGACUGCGAGCGUGACGGCGCGAGCAGGUGCGAAAGCAGGUCAUAGUGAUCCGGUGGUUCUGAAUGGAAGGGCCAUCGCUCAACGGAUAAAAGGUACUCCGGGGAUAACAGGCUGAUACCGCCCAAGAGUUCAUAUCGACGGCGGUGUUUGGCACCUCGAUGUCGGCUCAUCACAUCCUGGGGCUGAAGUAGGUCCCAAGGGUAUGGCUGUUCGCCAUUUAAAGUGGUACGCGAGCUGGGUUUAGAACGUCGUGAGACAGUUCGGUCCCUAUCUGCCGUGGGCGCUGGAGAACUGAGGGGGGCUGCUCCUAGUACGAGAGGACCGGAGUGGACGCAUCACUGGUGUUCGGGUUGUCAUGCCAAUGGCACUGCCCGGUAGCUAAAUGCGGAAGAGAUAAGUGCUGAAAGCAUCUAAGCACGAAACUUGCCCCGAGAUGAGUUCUCCCUGACUCCUUGAGAGUCCUGAAGGAACGUUGAAGACGACGACGUUGAUAGGCCGGGUGUGUAAGCGCAGCGAUGCGUUGAGCUAACCGGUACUAAUGAACCGUGAGGCUUAACCUUACAACGCCG